GAUUAACGCUAGCGGCAGGCCUAAUACAUGCAAGUCGAACGGCAGCACGGGUAGCAAUACCUGGUGGCGAGUGGCGCACGGGUGCGUAACGCGUAUGCAAUCUACCUGUAACUGGGGAAUAGCCUUCCGAAAGGAAGAUUAACACCGCAUAAAAUCACGAAGCGGCAUCGUUUUGUGAUCAAAUCUCCGGAGGUUACAGAUGAGCAUGCGUGACAUUAGCUAGUUGGUGAGGUAACGGCCCACCAAGGCUACGAUGUCUAGGGGGUCUGAGAGGAUGAUCCCCACA
rnacentral:rRNA from 1 species